rnacentral:rRNA from 1 species
AGAGUUUGAUCAUGGCUCAGGAUGAACGCUGGCGGCGUGUCUAAGGCAUGCAAGUCGAGCGAGAACUUUGAUCUUCGGAUCAAAGGGACAGCGGCAAACGGGAGAGUAACACCUUAGUAACCUACCCCAAAGAGAGGGAUAACUCAUCGAAAGAUGAGCUAAUACCUCAUGUGCUAUUGUAUUUAAUUUUAUAAUAGUAAAGUUACGACGCUUUGGGAGGGGCUUAGGUCCUAUUAGCUAGUUGGUGAGAUAAUAGCUCACCAAGGCAACGACGGGUAGCGGGUGUGAGAGCAUGAUCCGUCCCACUGGAACUGAGAUACGGUCCAGACUCCUACGGGAGGCUGCAGUCAAGAAUCUUCCCCAAUGCGCGAAAGCGUGAGGGAGCGACGCCGCGUGUAGGAUGAAGCCCUUCGGGGUGUAAACUACUUUUAUCAAGGACGAACAAAUGACGGUACUUGAUGAAUAAGGGGCUGCCAACUUCGUGCCAGCAGCAGCGGUAAUACGAAGGCCCCAAGCGUUAUCCGGAAUUACUGGGCGUAAAGCGUCUGUAGGCGGUUAGGUAAGUUAACGGUUAAAUCCUGGAGCUCAACUCCAGAACAGCCGCUAAUACUAUCUGACUAGAGGAUGGGAGAGGUCAACGGAAUUGCCGGUG